ACAUGGGGAGAAGAGGGAGAGAGAGAGAAGGCGAAUGUUCCCCCAGCUGUUUCCUGUCUACAGUGUCUGUGUUUUGUAGAUAAAUGUGAGGAUUUUCUCUAAAUCCCUCUUCUGCUUGCUAAAUCUCACUGUCACUGCUAAAUUCAGAGCAGAUAGAGCCUGCGCAAUGGAAUAAAGUCCUCAAAAUUGAAAUGUGACAUUGCUCUAACAUCUCCCAUCUCUCUGGAUUUCUUUUUCGCCUCAUUAUCCCUGCCCACCAAUUCAUUUCCAGACUUUGUACUUCAGAAGCGAUGGGGAAAAUCAGCAGCCUUCCAACUCAAUUAUUUAAGAUCUGCCUCUGUGACUUCUUGAAGGUAAAUAUCUCUUACUUUUUUUUUUUUUAACUCGUUGGAGAAUUGUAUUUAAACUGUGUACUGUUUUCUUCUGCCUAGAGUCUUUAUUUGCUUUAGAAUUUGCAUUGUUUCAGAACUGGGGGUUAUUUACAAAUUGCUGAAUGUGCAGUUCUGUGCGAGCUGUAAAAGGAGCUCCGGGGGAUGAAUGCAUUUGCAGAGGUAUCUGUACGGGUAGAAACUAUUGCAAGGUACUUCUGCUAAAGCCUCCGCUUCCACAGGGCUUCCACACUGCCGUUUUAAGAGACUCCUUUAAAUCUAGCCUAUGGCUCGGGGCGAGAAAGAUGACUAUAAACUCGGGAGUGCUUCUCUCUCACAGGUGCAGGCGUUGGCUUUUUCAGAGCAUGUUCUUGUGUCUGUGUCUAUGUAUGUGUGUGAUUUGUCAGGACUUUAUUUACGAGGCAUGUCACAGAUUAAAAGUUACAUUUUAGAUGAUAGGAAGGCUUUUAAAAAAUGCUUUUUUCUUUCUUUUUUUUUGGAGCCAAGAAUCGGGAAUUCUUUGCACUUCUGCCCAGAAAGUCAAAGUUAGGGGAAGUUUAAUUUGCUUUUCUGUAAAAGCUCUUAGACAACUUGCUGUCUUUGCAUAUUCAGAAAUUUUAAACAGAUACAGGCUGUGCUCAGAAAGCAGGAGCUUACUGGCGGCUGCUUGUCCAACUUUUCUCUUUGGAAGGGGACUUUCGUGACUGAGCUGGGGUUUGAAUUUUGGUUUAAGGCUCUGCUCUUAGACUCACCGCGCGGCGCGGCAAGGCAAAGCCUCUUUAGGUGAAUCGGCUGCUGCUUGCCCCUGCUGCUGCUGUGCUGCCUCUGUCACUUGCCUCUGGCUCUGUCGCUCGCCCCUGCCGCUGCUGCUGCUGCUGCUGCUGCUGCUGCUGCUGCUGCUGCUGCCGUUUGCCCCUGCCGCUGUCUAUGUUCUGCCUUCUCCUUUUGAUCACUGGCCCUACUUCAAGUUUCCAUUCUCAGCAAAAUUAUAUCCUUCCAGACUUGUGUUUUUUCAAUUUGCAAGCACUUCUAAGCCGCUGUCACCGGCUCCUUGGAGGCAGUUGCCGGAGGGCUUAAUUCAUAAAAGAUCCCAGUCAAAGAGUGCAGCGGGUUUUUUUUUGUGCUGCAUUCAAAUGCUUCAUCGCUAUGAGUUUUUCUUAGGCAAGUAAGUGGCUUGGGACUUCGGGAAACAACCUUGUCAAGCACCUAAUUGUGCCGUCCUCGCGCUGCCAGCAAGCUUCAGCCACCUUACAGGAGUGAAGUCAGCGUUCAUAUACGCUGUGUGGUCUGGCAGCUGGGAUUGUGUGUCCCAAAGGGAUUGUGGAAUGUUACCUCGGCAGGCAUGCAUUCCACGUUUGGAAAAUCGGCUCCAAAUGAACUUUCUUUCCCUGCUGGGUCUGCAGAACAUUUCAGAAGCGGAGCUAGCAAUACCCUUCAACUUUUUUCCUGUGCUUGCAGCAGGAGAUGGCUGAAGGGAGCUACUGCAUGCGUGGUGGUCUUUGAAACAUAGCUCAGGGAAGAGAGGUCAGCUGCCUAGAGCGAUUGGUACACACAGGGCGCCUGCUGGCUUUGUACUCUGAGGCUCAAGGUAUUUCCCAGUGCCUGAGCCAGGGGACGAUGGGGGAGGAAGGGAAGGAGCUGGAACUUGAAUCACUAUUCUGGAUAGCCGAGAUAGAUAGCCAUACAAUGGAAAUGAGUGGCUUCCCUUGGGGGAAAAAGACGGACUCCAACUCCCAGCUGUGCAAUUUACUCAUUGUUUAAAUGGACAAAAGGCAGUUUACCCAGGCUCAGAGCAUACCUGCCUGGGUGUCCAAAUGUAACUAGAUGCUUUCACAAACCCCACCCACAAAACAACACAUGUUCUUAAGUCCUCAGUUUUGUGUUCACCUCGGCCUCAUAGUACCCACUCUGACCUGCUGUGUAAACGACCCGGACCUACCAAAAUGACCGCACCUGCAGUGAGUACCUACUUACAACUAUUGCCCUUGUAUUUUGACCAGCCAUUUUUGUUGUUGUUCGGACACCUGGAAUCAAUUGAUAUCUCACUUGUUUAACACAGAAAGGUCCUUGGAGAUGUGGAUUUAUCAGUGAUCUUUGAGGAAAGUGUUCUGAGUUCAGGAUUGACUUUUUUUGGCUGUCUCUUGCUCAGGCCCUUCCUCGCCCUCUUCUUAUUACAUCUAUGGCUUCUCUCUACUGGUUUUCCUUGUGGUUGACGAAAUAAGGGCCAGGGGAAAUGGAGAACAUAUGGGGAGACUUGUUUUGGACUUUUUUAAAACUCCUAAGCAAGUCCUAUAUUGUUUUCUGUUUGGGGACCAUGGUGUGAUAAACUCUGACUCUCUGUGGGUAUGCUGGACUAGUCUCUGAGCUAAAGGAAAAUGUACAGAGGUCUAGUAUUGAUAUUUAUCAGACAGUGGUUUUCAGUAUAAGUCCAUGCAGAAAGGAAAAAGGAAAAUUGGUUUGAGCAGUUUUCAGUUUUUCAAUUCUACAGGUACAUAUGUCUUGCUGGACUUAAAUGCACUAUCCCUUAAAAUAACUAUUAAAAUGCAGUUUGGGACAGCUCGUGACAGUCUAAAUUUACAAAGGCUGUGAGAUUGAGUAACAGUUGCUGUGGAGUUGGUUCAAACUAACCAUUGCAGGUGCCUGCUGGCCUUCACCGCUCUCUGAAACUGAGCAGGGGUAGGGGGCAGUGCUUCAGAAAUGGGUUUGCUGGAGUAACUAACAUUCAUUCUAAAGUUGGUCUGUUGCCAGAGUGUAGGGAAGUGUUCUCUAAGAACAGUCAUGGGGAUUACAGGCCUGCCCUUUCACAAAGAACCAUGAAGCCCUGAUGGGUUAGAUUUAUUCAAGUUUCCAUGAAAAAUACUGAAGGGGAAGCUCCGCUGUCUUCUUUUUAUAACUAAGAGGAAUCAAUAGACAUUAGCUCAUUUCUGUAAACUCUGAUGUCUUUGGUUGUAUGGCGAUGGAGUACUUCCAGACUGAAAUCCUACUGAGCAAAGGUACCAAGGGCUUAACUGGGGAGGUACCUCCUCCUUAAUUGCAUGUCCUCUGUUUCCCGUUGACUUGAGAGUGGAGAGUUCCUUUCAUCUCCAGCCACUCUAUACACACUACUGAAAUAUUUACCUUGUGAGAUCAAGAAUCAGGGCCUCCUAGGGGUCCCUUGCCCCCCUCCUAAUGCUAGGCUGAAGAACGAGCCACUAAAUUGAAAAUGAGUUUAAAAUAGUUGAGUAAAAUUUGCCACUGAUAUAGAGCCAUUAAGUAGAGAGCUCACUCACACAGGACAGGGAAAUGGCCAUAAACUCAAUAUCUCUGAGUCUCACUCUCCAAACAAGUGGGGAUUGAAUGAAUUUGCCUCAACUGUGAGAUUCAAA
rnacentral:lncRNA from 1 species